rnacentral:tRNA from 1 species
GCCUGAGUGGCUUAGUCGGUUGAGCGUCCGACUUCGGCUCAGGUCAGGAUCGCGCGAUCCGUGAGUUCGAGCCCCGCAUCGGGCU